rnacentral:misc_RNA from 1 species
AAGUCGUAACAAGGUUUUCGUAGGUGAACCUGCGGAAGGAUCAUUAUUGAAGAAUAAGAGCGCACUUCACUGUGGCUCGACCCUUCAUAUCCAUUCACCCUGUGCACUGUAAUACCUUUUAUUAGACACUACAAGUCAAAGAAUGUACUACUUUGUAUAAAGUAAACAAAAUUUUCAACAACGGAUCUCUUGGUUCUC